CCUACGGGUGGCAGCAGUGGGGAAUAUUGCGCAAUGGGCGAAAGCCUGACGCAGCGACGCCGCGUGAGGGAUGAAGGUCUUCGGAUCGUAAACCUCUGUCAGCAGGGAAGAACGGUCACUGUGCUAAUCAGCAGUGAAUUGACGGUACCUGCAAAGGAAGCACCGGCUAACUCCGUGCCAGCAGCCGCGGUAAUACGGAGGGUGCGAGCGUUAAUCGGAAUUACUGGGCGUAAAGCGCUCGUAGGCGGUAUGUCAAGUCAAGGGUGAAAUCCCCGGGCUCAACGUGGGAACUGCCUUUGAAACUGGCAAACUGGAGUGUGUGAGAGGAUGGUGGAAUUCCAGGUGUAGGAGUGAAAUGCGUAGAUAUCUGGAGGAACAUCAGUGGCGAAGGCGACUAUCUGGCACAUAACUGACGCUGAGGAGCGAAAGCGUGGGUAGCAAACAGGAUUAGAUACCCCAGUAGUC
rnacentral:rRNA from 1 species